rnacentral:rRNA from 1 species
UACGUAGGGGGCAAGCGUUGUCCGGAAUUAUUGGGCGUAAAGCGCUCGCAGGCGGUCUGUCGCGUCGGAUGUGAAAACUCGGGGCUCAACCCCGAGCCUGCAUUCGAUACGGGCAGACUAGAGUGCUGUAGGGGAGACUGGAAUUCCUGGUGUAGCGGUGAAAUGCGCAGAUAUCAGGAGGAACACCGGUGGCGAAGGCGGGUCUCUGGGCAGUAACUGACGCUGAGGAGCGAAAGCGUGGGGAGCGAACAGG